GUAAUACUAUCUACAUGAACUUCAAAUGAAACUAACACACACCAACACUACACUAACACACCAAAAUACAGUAAAUCACGUCAACACUACACUAACAUACACCAACAAUACACAUAAGCACACCAACAAUACACUAACACACACCAACACUACAUUAGCACACACCAACACUACAUUAAUAAUGUGACCUACACUAACACACACCAACACUACACUAACGCACACCAACACUACAUUAAUAAUGUGACCUAAACUAACACAUACCAACACUACACUAACACCCACCAACACUACACUAACACACACCAUCACUACAUUAAUAAUGUGACCACAGCUGCUUCACUGUGUCUGCAUUUCUUUCAAAUGGCACACGGUAUAGCUGUUUUAGAGACACCUGGUGCCUUUUCAGUAUGCGUGCAAUAGUCGGCAAACUUAUGGGUUCCACAUUGCUGAACGUGUCGUCAUUGUCCAAGAUGUUAAUGAUUUUGUCUUAUAUUGUGUACUUUAUUAUUAUUAUUAUUUCUUUUUUUUCCCCAAAUAUUUGUAUUCUUUGAAUUGUUUAUUUUUGAUAUUUUUCGUAUGAUGUUUAAUUUCUUCUUAAUGGCAAGUGCGCACAAACAUUUCAGUACGGAACGAGACCUAAGCGCACAUGGUUGUGGCGUCCAAAGUUCAUUAAAGGAUUAGAGGGAUUUAGCUCCUGGUUUGAAUGGAGAACAAGCUCUUACGUUGAUUCUCACCGAGUUACGGCUGCAUUCUACGUCUUAUGGCGUCCAACGAUGAUCUGGCUUUCAAAUAAAGUGUGGGAAUCAUCAGUCGGAGGGUCUAUCCUUUUUUAAGCCAGGGAGCUACACAAGAUGUGCUGCCGAAUGUCUGUUAGGCGAAUAUCGUUUCUGGCCCGAACCAUACUGACCACAGCCAACACUUGCUGGUCAGUCAAAACAACAUGGAGGAACAAUGAGGGCCUCUAGUGGCCGAAACACAAAACAGCAAGUCUGGGAUCCUGACACUGUGUGGAAAUCAAGAUCACUGUUUGAGAGUUAUAGAUCCACGCCCUUCCAUUUUGGGUGCAUACAGGAAAAAAAAGUAAAACCUUGGGAUGUGGGAUUUCUUUGUGACAUGCCUAUUAAAAAUCUCAAUUUGAGUGAAGUCUAGUGUUGUUCAGAGAACUUGUGUGAUAGGGUGUGAAGUCUGGAUCAAGCUGGAGCAGCAAUUUACUGUUGCUGAUGUAUUACCUAAUAUUGUCAAAAAUAUAUAUUUUCCCCAUAAACUAUAUAACUUACUCUUUGGAUUUGAGCUUGUCUUAAAUGAAGCUUUUAACAAUGAAAUGAGGCUGGUACUUAAUUUAUAUUUAC